UAAGGGCGCACGGUGGAUGCCUUGGCACUAGAAGCCGAUGAAGGACGUUACUAACGACGAUAUGCUUUGGGGAGCUGUAAGUAAGCUUUGAUCCAGAGAUUUCCGAAUGGGGAAACCCAGCAUGAGUUAUGUCAUGUUAUCGAUAUGUGAAUACAUAGCAUAUCAGAAGGCACACCCGGAGAACUGAAACAUCUUAGUACCCGGAGGAAGAGAAAGAAAAUUCGAUUCCCUUAGUAGCGGCGAGCGAAACGGGAAGAGCCCAAACCAACAAGCUUGCUUGUUGGGGUUGUAGGACACUCUAUACGGAGUUACAAAGGACGACAUUAGACGAAUCAUCUGGAAAGAUGAAUCAAAGAAGGUAAUAAUCCUGUAGUCGAAAAUGUUGUCUCUCUUGAGUGGAUCCUGAGUACGACGGAGCACGUGAAAUUCCGUCGGAAUCUGGGAGGACCAUCUCCUAAGGCUAAAUACUCUCUAGUGACCGAUAGUGAACCAGUACCGUGAGGGAAAGGUGAAAAGCACCCCGGAAGGGGAGUGAAAUAGAACCUGAAACCGUGUGCUUACAAGUAGUCAGAGCCCGUUAAUGGGUGAUGGCGUGCCUUUUGUAGAAUGAACCGGCGAGUUACGAUUUGAUGCAAGGUUAAGCAGUAAAUGUGGAGCCGUAGCGAAAGCGAGUCUGAAUAGGGCGUUUAGUAUUUGGUCGUAGACCCGAAACCAGGUGAUCUACCCUUGGUCAGGUUGAAGUUCAGGUAACACUGAAUGGAGGACCGAACCGACUUACGUUGAAAAGUGAGCGGAUGAACUGAGGGUAGCGGAGAAAUUCCAAUCGAACCUGGAGAUAGCUGGUUCUCUCCGAAAUAGCUUUAGGGCUAGCCUCAAGUGAUGAUUAUUGGAGGUAGAGCACUGUUUGGACGAGGGGCCCCUCUCGGGUUACCGAAUUCAGACAAACUCCGAAUGCCAAUUAAUUUAACUUGGGAGUCAGAACAUGGGUGAUAAGGUCCGUGUUCGAAAGGGAAACAGCCCAGACCACCAGC
rnacentral:rRNA from 1 species